UGGGGAAUAUUGCACAAUGGGGGAAACCCUGAUGCAGCGACGCCGCGUGAGCGAAGAAGGUUUUCGAAUCGUAAAGCUCUGUCCUAUGAGAAGAUAAUGACGGUAUCAUAGGAGGAAGCCCCGGCUAAAUACGUGCCAGCAGCCGCGGUAAUACGUAUGGGGCGAGCGUUGUCCGGAAUUAUUGGGCGUAAAGGGCUUGUAGGCGGUUGGCCGCGUCUGCCGUGAAAUCCUCUGGCUUAACUGGGGGCGUGCGGUGGGUACGGGUUGACUUGAGUGCGGUAGGGGAGACUGGAAUUCCUGGUGUAGCGGUGGAAUGCGCAGAUAUCAGGAGGAACACCGGUGGCGAAGGCGGGUCUCUGGGCCGUUACUGACGCUGAGGUACGAAAGCGUGGGUAGCAAACAGG
rnacentral:rRNA from 1 species